rnacentral:lncRNA from 1 species
AGGCACAAGGGAGGAAACAGAUCCAGAGAUGUCAUGGACUUGCCCAAGGGUGGAUCCUUAGGGUGUUGACUGCUGCAGUUUCAAGCUUACAUCUGCACCCUGCAGAAUCCAGAGGAAGAGACAAUGCCUGUUCCAGUGGCUCUCAAGAAAUUCUUUUCCAGCCAGGCAUGGUGGCUCAUGCCUGUAAUCCCAGCACUUUGGUAGGCUAAGUACUGGACUGGUUCUGAUGCUUUCACCAGUAACAGAAGCUCAAGCUGUGCUCAACUGACCCCCAAGGAUCCAGCCUGUCUCUGGGAUUCUCUAGGCCGUCCCGGAACUCCUACCAUGACCAGGGAAGUGUAGGGUUGGGGUUUGGCCCUAGACCUCUUAUCUGUCCACCUGCAAAGCCGUUUUAGUAACAGAUUUGGAAGCAAAGUAAGGUUUUUGAUGGCAGCUUGGUCACCAGCACUUCACUUAGGAACCAGUGCUGGGGAAGCGGAUGGGACAAUUUCUGAGUGUCUCCUGGGACAGACACAUAGGCCAUCGCUCCGCUAGGGGCAUGGAGGGUAUGUGUGGGUCAAAUUGCUAAAUAAUCUCCAAAGCUCAUUACAAUUAAUGGGCCGACCUAUUCCCCAAUGCCUGCUUUACUGGAAUUGUUCGGCCCCAUCCUUCCCCCACAGUAGAGUGAGCCAAUUUAAAUUUUCAAUGCAGUUCUUCAGCACUUGUGUGAUGAUAAUCAGCUUACAGGUCAAGGACCUUGGCAAUUCACCAAGGAGAUUGUUACAUUUGAGCAAUUCACCAUUACAAUCCAUGGGCCCAGAGGUUCCAGGAGCCUGCUUCCAGCCACCUCCACCAGGAUGCCAGGCAUAAACAGGGUCUCGCCAUGUUGCCCAGGCUGGUCUCAAACUCCUGGACUCAAGCAAUCCUCCCACCUCAGCCUCCCAAAGUGCUGGGAUUACAGGCAUGAGUCACCACAGCCAGCCCAGUACCUGCUUUUAAGGAGCUCAUACCGACCAGAGUUCAAGCAAAAAAAAAAAAAAAAAAAAAAGGUCUACUUAAACUUUGAAAGAUGAGAUUGUUCAAAAAUGACACGAGAAAAUCACCCAUCACCACUAAGUUAAAGACUUGAAUAUGUGAGAGUUCCAGAGCCUCAAACUCCUACUACAGUCACUGAUCCAUAACAUUUUCCUCUUGCAAUGGACUCCACGCCAAAGUAGCUCAGUCUUGC